CUAUCGGUUUUAUAAGAGUCCAAAAAUUGCUGCAUUCAUUACCAUUCUUCUGGAAUCACUACAGAAGGAUCACUUGGGAAUCUCUUUGUCUGUCAGAGUGAAGGCCGACUCGGUUUGCAUGCAAAGGAUUUCAGUAGGAUUCUAGAGGUAGAGAUGUGUGUGAACAUAAUGAAUUCAACCUUGAAGAACAUUAGGUUGGACUUCAUUAUCAGAUGAUGAUGUCUGUAUGCUUCUCCUUCAAGAUGACACUGAAGGCCUUACUGAGCUGUCAUUUGGGAAAGAUCAUGCCCCAGUUCCCAUAAAAUUGAGUUCUCCAACCAAGGAUGGAGAGAGGAACUUGUGAGAUUUUUCUGCUUCAGCUGCCAAAAUAAAUUGACUGGCCUUGGGUCCUAUCCAAAGAAAAAGGACAGGAAGUCCAGGUUUGAAUGAGAUAAAGUUUAAUAACUACUGUCAUGCAGCUGACAUGUUUUGGAAUAUCAAGGGAGUUUCAUGCUCAGGAAGCAAGAGGAAUCUACAGUCUGAUAUUUCUUUGGUGCUGAAUUUCUUACAAUUUGUGAAGAAGGAACAGAUGUUGUGAAAUGCAUUUGCCACAUGAAAACAUGUAAAUAGUUAUUAAAUCAUCUCUCAUGCAGCA